rnacentral:rRNA from 1 species
UACGAAGGGGGCUAGCGUUGCUCGGAAUCACUGGGCGUAAAGGGUGCGUAGGCGGGUUUUUAAGUCAGGGGUGAAAUCCUGGAGCUCAACUCCAGAACUGCCUUUGAUACUGAAGAUCUUGAGUCCGGGAGGGGUGAGUGGAACUGCGAGUGUAGAGGUGAAAUUCGUAGAUAUUCGCAAGAACACCAGUGGCGAAGGCGGCUCACUGGCCCGGUACUGACGCUGAGGAGCGAAAGUGUGGGGAGCGAACAGG